AUGAGGUCGUUGUCAUAUCGCUGGCACGCUAUUCAGGUCAGCGUCAAAGUUCAGCAACUUGGUCAAUCAGCUCGAGGCAAGGUGACCAUUGCAUACGAGCAUGGAGGAGAUGGUAAGUUUUACUUCCUCUUGCUAAACUUGUUGAUUGAUUCAUUUCAUUCAAUGUUGGUCUAUACAUUAUAUGUAGCCCGCAUGCGUCGCCGUGCUGUACCACAGGUCGGCGGGACUGCCAUUUACGUGCACACAUUGCUGGAUGAAGCUGAAGGAGAAGUAUGUGUGAGAGGACAUGAUCCAUUCCUCAAAAACUUGUUGGACAUCUGGGAUCUAGCCGAAUUUGAGACCUUGUUGUACUAG
rnacentral:rRNA from 1 species